GACGAACGCUGGCGGCGUGCUUAACACAUGCAAGUCGAGCGGAGCGGCGAACGGGUGAGUAACGCGUGAGUAACUGCCCCCCUCUCUGGGAUAACAGUUGGCAACGGCUGCUAAUACCGGAUAGUGGGGGAUGACUCGGGUCAAAUCGGCUUGUUGGUGGGGUAGUGGCAUACCAAGCCGACGACGGGUAGCCGGCCUGGGAUGGGGACCUGCCACCAUGGGCUGAGAUAGGGCCCAAACGCGUACGGGGGGCAGCAGUGGGGAAGAUUGCGCAAUGGGGCAAAGCCUGAGGCAGCAACGCCGCGUGUGGGAUGACCGUCUUCGGGUUAUAAACCGCUUUAAGCCAAGACGCGGUAGUGGCAGAAGAAGCACCGGCUAACUACGUGCCAGCAGCCGCGGUAAUAC
rnacentral:rRNA from 1 species